rnacentral:rRNA from 1 species
AUUGAACGCUGGCGGCAGGCCUAACACAUGCAAGUCGAACGAGUGGCGGACGGGUGAGUAAUGUCUGGGAAACUGCCUGAUGGAGGGGGAUAACUACUGGAAACGGUAGCUAAUACCGCAUCCAAGCAGAUGUGCCCAGAGGGGCGUGGCGUGUGGGUGGGGUAACGGCUCACAACGGCGACGAUCCCUAGCUGGUCUGAGAGGAUGACCAGCCACACUGGAACUGAGACACGGUCCAGACUCCUACGGUAGGCAGCAGUGGGGAAUAUUGCACAAGGGGCGCAAGCCUGAUGCAGCCAUGCCGCGUGUAUGAAGAAGGCCUUCGGGUUGUAAAGUACUUUCAGCGGGGAGGCGUUACCCGCAGAAGAAGCACCGGCUAACUCCGUGCCAGCAGCCGCGGUAAUUC